rnacentral:rRNA from 1 species
CCUACGGGAGGCAGCAGUGGGGAAUAUUGCUCAAUGGGCGAAAGCCUGACGCAGCGACGCCGCGUGAGGGAUGAAGGUCUUCUGAUCGUAAACCUCUGUCUGCAGGGAAGAACGGUCACUUUGCUAUUCCGCACUGAAUUGACGGUACCUGCAAAGGCAGCACCGCCUAACUCCGUCCCAGCAGCCGCGGUAAUACGGAGGGUGCGAGCGUGAAUGGGAAUUACUGGGCGUAAAGGGUUCGUAGGCGGUAUGUCAAGUCAAGGGUGAAAUCCCCGGGCUCAACGUGGGAAUUGCCUUUGAUACUGGUAAACUGGAGUGUGGGAGAGGAGAGUGGAAUGCCAGGUGUAGGAGUGAAAUCCGUAGAGAUC